AUGGUCCGUAUGAAGAACUACUG
rnacentral:miRNA from 1 species